GCGCGAGUUGAACACUACAUAUUUAAUCUAAUUGGGAUAUUAAUCUAAUAAAUAUUAGUCGAGUAAAUCUUAAGUUAAUUAUCUAAAAUCUGUGAUCUAACAAAUUAAUGUUAUUAAUAUGAGUGUUUAUAAGCAAAAACAGUUUAUUAUCACACGCAGACGCCGCGCGACACAGAGAAAUAGAUGUUAUGUUUAUACUGAAUAAGUAUUAAUUCAAAAACGUUUGAGUUGACAUUAAUCAUAUCAACGUAUAUUUAUAAAGCGUAAAUUAAAACUAUGGAUUUGUUUAACGCUAUUUAAUAAAUCGUGUUUCUAGGGUGAUAUGGUGCAAUUUUAUUGGCUGGAGGAUGUCCACACCUAUGGCCACAAGAUCUUAGCAGCAGAAAAUCCAUGGAUGAUAUGGGGCAUUUUCUCUAUUGGAUGGAUCAUGGAUGCAUGCAGGGAUUAGUGGUGCACGUACGUGGGGCCUAUUCACUUGGCACAUGCACAUGGCAGUUUUGUUUCGUGGCCGCAUGCAGGGAAAACAAAUAAAUAAUAAAUAAACAAAAAAAAUAAAGACAUGGGCACUUCCUUCCUAACGCACGCCAUCGGAAGGCAUGCAGCAUGGGGCUCAUGCGGCUUCUUCUUCAUGGAAACAAGUCAACUACCGAGGGGUUCCAACUCCAAACCUGGACGCACGCACGGAAUCGACCAUGGGGGACAGAACGCGCAGGAGGGAGGAAACCUGCGCGCGGGCUGGCCGUGGAGCUGCUCGGGCAGCGUGGGGCUGCAGGGGAGAGAGCGGCUUGCAGGUGGCCAGGGUGGGCACCGGUGGCUCGCUGGCGGCGGCGCUCGUGGAGCAGCGACCACGUGACUUCUGGGAGAGUUCGGCCAGGGCCAGCCGUGGCAACAUCUAUGCAAGGAAGCAGCGAAUGGUAAACUGCGGAAGAAGAAGAGAGCUCACCGGAGGAUUUGCUCGAGGAUUG
rnacentral:misc_RNA from 1 species